CCCUUCUCCCAAAAUCAGAUCUUCAUAUCCCUUUCUCAUUUCACAAAAGCCAUCGUUCUCCACUUCUCCUUUUCUCAUUUUAGAUCCCUCUUUUGCUUUCCUCUCAAAUCAGCAACCCUACAGACUACACUCUUAGGUUUUCCUCUCAACUUUACACUAAAUUGUAUUUCGCGAUGGAAGCUACAACUUCUGGAACUAAAUCGCUAGUGAUUGACAACAACCCUCCGAUUGCGCCAACAGAAUCUCAACAACAACAAGUUUGGAAGAAGUCCAGAACAUUGAGCAAGUUUAUGAAGAGUAUGGAGACUCACCUUUGAGCAUUGAUUAGCCAGUUUCGUUCACGAUGCACUAUCUGUGUGAGAAUUGGCUGCAAACUUUGUUUAUUUUUGCCCAGUUGCUGUAGUAUAGUGCACUGAUUUGGAUUUUUGCCCAAUCCUCAA